rnacentral:lncRNA from 1 species
GCUGAAUUUAUUAACUUAGUUUAUGCAAGGUCACAAAUAUGUGUUUCAAAGAUAGAUAUACAAUUGGACGUAAUACAAAAUAAACACGGUACUUAAUUUUUAAAAUGCAUUGUAUGAAGUCGAACCGAGGACCAGAUAUUCGAAAGAAGCACAAUACCAAAAAUAUCUGGAAAAGGCUGGACAGUUCCAGCUGAAGAAUAGAUCUGCAUCGGGAAGUAUUAACAUAUUAACACUUUCAUCCAAUUGGAAAUAUUACGAGGUUAAAUAUUAACACAUCUAAUGAAUGACGAUAGAAUGUAUUGUGUUAAUCUCUGUGACAAAAACGUGUCAACCAUACAAAAUUUUAAACAAAGUGGGGUGAUUAGCAGUAUCUAAAAUUGUCGUCAGUUUUUAUUUGUGUGUAGUAUUUUUUUUUUUUUUUUCGUUGGAGUUUUUAUUUUAAUUUCAUAAUGCAAAUAUUAAUAGUUAUGUUUUUUUUUAUUUACUAAUACAUUUCAUUUUGUGUUUUUCGUCCACUUGAAACAAAGAGCGACCUAACUGGUUCAAGAGGCCACCAUGACCACUGGCUACACGUUCUGAGGUUCACGAUUAGGGACUGUGAGAGAAUAAUAUAAUAUACAAUGUUUAUCCAAUGUAUACCUAAGAGGUUCUAUUUUAUUCGGAUCUCAUUUAUUAAACUGACAUGCGAUACUGAUAAUGUUGUACGUUUAAUUUGUAUCUCAUUCACUACAUUGUUGUAAGUCAUAGAAUACAAUUAUUUAGAAUAAGAAGCUAUUCACACCAAAACAU